GAGGUUGGCUCAAAUGAUAGAGCACCUGCCUAGCAAGCAUGAGGUUCUGAGUUCAGUCCUCAGUAAUGUCA
rnacentral:tRNA from 1 species